rnacentral:lncRNA from 1 species
ACACAAGUUAUACUUGCUUUAUAGUACAGGCUUAGUUCUGUCAUGUACCUUCUUUGCUCUCUGGUAUGUUGCUCCAGAGCCAAUGUAGUUAAGGCUACACUGUUUUGAGCUAAGUGCAUCCUUUACAGAUACAAAUCCCUUUUCUAAAAGGGGAAAAGAGAAGGAUAUUGUGAGUGACAGCUCAGUCUGAGCUUUGCAUCUAAGCAAAACUCCAGACCACGUGCAAGGCAGGAAGUGAAUUACAGAGCUUCAGAAAUAGAGCAGAAACCCACAUUCUGCUUGCAAAUGUACAGUUCAUGGCUCCCACAGGGGCUGUAGCUCAGCCCCCUGCAACACAGGCAGCAGUUUGGGUGUGAAAUAACAUGCUAAAGCUAUACUGUAAUGUAUGUUCACUACAGGGCUGUGUUACAGCAGAUAGGAAGCUUGUGACUGCUUGGAAUACCUGUUGGAAGGCUGCACUGAGAAUCAAGGAAGCUGAGUCUGGAGACUAUCCCUCCUGCUGA